CCUACGGGAGGCAGCAGUGGGGAAUAUUGCGCAAUGGUCGAAAGACUGACGCAGCGACGCCGCGUGUGGGAGGAAGCCCUUCGGGGCGUAAACCACUGUCAGGUGGGAAGAACCCUGUGCACCCGAACAAGGUGCGCAGUUGACGGUACCAUCAGAGGAAGCGCCGGCUAACUCCGUGCCAGCAGCCGCGGUAAGACGGAGGGCGCAAGCGUUGUUCGGAAUUACUGGGCGUAAAGCGCGUGUAGGCGGUUCGGUCAGUCGGAUGUGAAAUCCCCGGGCUUAACCCGGGAACUGCAUCCGAAACUGCCGAGCUGGAGUCCCGGAGGGGAAGGCAGAAUUCCCAAUGUAGGGGUGAAAUCCGUAGAUAUUGGGAAGAAUACCAGCGGCGAAGGCGGCCUUCUGGACGGUGACUGACGCUGAGACGCGAAAGCGUGGGGAGCGAACAGGAUUAGAUACCCUGGUAGUCCACGCCGUAAACUGUGCGCACUAGGUGUCGGGGGUAUUCACCCCUCCGGUGCCGGAGCUAACGUUUUAAGUGCGCCGCCUGGGAAGUACGGCCGCAAGGCUAAAACUCAAAGGAAUUGACGG
rnacentral:rRNA from 1 species